rnacentral:rRNA from 1 species
GAUGAACGCUGGCGGCGUGCCUAAUACAUGCAAGUCGAGCGAACGGACGAGAAGCUUGCUUCUCUGAUGUUAGCGGCGGACGGGUGAGUAACACGUGGAUAACCUACCUAUAAGACUGGGAUAACUUCGGGAAACCGUAGCUAAUACCGGAUAAUAUUUUGAACCGCAUGGUUCAAAAGUGAAAGACGGUCUUGCUGUCACUUAUAGAUGGAUCCGCGCUGCAUUAGCUAGUUGGUAAGGUAACGGCUUACCAAGGCAACGAUGCAUAGCCGACCUGAGAGGGUGAUCGGCCACACUGGAACUGAGACACGGUCCAGACUCCUACGGGAGGCAGCAGUAGGGAAUCUUCCGCAAUGGGCGAAAGCCUGACGGAGCAACGCCGCGUGAGUGAUGAAGGUCUUCGGAUCGUAAAACUCUGUUAUUAGGGAAGAACAUAUGUGUAAGUAACUGUGCACAUCUUGACGGUACCUAAGCAGAAAGCCACGGCUAACUACGG